AGUCAUAGGUAAUCCGAUUAAAAAUGGGUAAUCUGUUUAAAAAUGGGUAUGAACUUGUAAUUUUAAAUUCAUAGUUAUUCGGACCCAUAUAUACCGGUAAUGGAUUUUUGUGAACGGGUUAAAUAUGCGGACGGGUUCAAGUUCGUCUGAUGGACUAAGUAGCAGUGGACCUGGACGUUUCUGCUUCGAGUCGGCAACUGGUAUAUCCGAAGCUGAAUGAAGGAAAUUAUCGAGAUUGGCGAGCACAAGUUCUGUUCGCAGUCGAAGCCUAUGGUUUGGAGGGACAUCUCACAGCUGAAAUGGAGACUUUUAAUUAGCUUUGCAACCACGACGACAGUUUCUUCAAACAAGCACUAUACAAAGGAAGGAGGACUGGAGAAGCAUCAAUUGCAGUAUUUUCAUCUCUUUUCUUUCUUUCUCUCCUAGACAAUAAACUGUUUUUGGUAAAUUUCUCAAUGCCUAUGAUUGUUGUGAUGUUUGAUUGAUUAACGAUGGGAUGAAGGAUGUUAGAUAAGAACCGGAUACAGACUGCAUUUUUGUCUGAUGAUGAGUUUCGUGUAUAGAUAUGGGAAUUAGAAGAUAUUUCAGUAUUCACUCUGAUUUAAUAAAUAUGGGAAUUAAUUG